rnacentral:rRNA from 1 species
GCGAAUACCGGAGAAUGUUAUCACGGGAGACACACGGCGGGUGCUAACGUCCGUCGUGAAGAGGGAAACAACCCAGACCGCCAGCUAAGGUCCCAAAGUCAUGGUUAAGUGGGAAACGAUGUGGGAAGGCCCAGACAGCCAGGAUGUUGGCUUAGAAGCAGCCAUCAUUUAAAGAAAGCGUAAUAGCUCACUGGUCGAGUCGGCCUGCGCGGAAGAUGUAACGGGGCUAAACCAUGCACCGAAGCUGCGGCAGCGACACUCAGGUGUUGUUGGGUAGGGGAGCGUUCUGUAAGCCUGCGAAGGUGGCCUGUGAGGGUUGCUGGAGGUAUCAGAAGUGCGAAUGCUGACAUAAGUAACGAUAAAGCGGGUGAAAAGCCCGCUCGCCGGAAGACCAAGGGUUCCUGUCCAACGUUAAUCGGGGCAGGGUGAGUCGACCCCUAAGGCGAGGCCGAAAGGCGUAGUCGAUGGGAAACGGGUUAAUAUUCCCGUACUUGGUGUUACUGCGAAGGGGGGACGGAGAAGGCUAUGUUGGCCGGGCGACGGUUGUCCCGGUUUAAGCGUGUAGGUGUGUGUUCCAGGUAAAUCCGGUUCACUUUAACACUGAGGCGUGACGACGAGGCACUACGGUGCUGAAGCAACAAAUGCCCUGCUUCCAGGAAAAGCCUCUAAGCAUCAGGUAACAUCAAAUCGUACCCCAAACCGACACAGGUGGUCAGGUAGAGAAUACCAAGGCGCUUGAGAGAACUCGGGUGAAGGAACUAGGCAAAAUGGUGCCGUAACUUCGGGAGAAGGCACGCUGACACGUAGGUGAAGUGAUUUACUCAUGGAGCUGAAGUCAGUCGAAGAUACCAGCUGGCUGCAACUGUUUAUUAAAAACACAGCACUGUGCAAACACGAAAGUGGACGUAUACGGUGUGACGCCUGCCCGGUGCCGGAAGGUUAAUUGAUGGGGUCAGCGCAAGCGAAGCUCCUGAUCGAAGCCCCGGUAAACGGCGGCCGUAACUAUAACGGUCCUAAGGUAGCGAAAUUCCUUGUCGGGUAAGUUCCGACCUGCACGAAUGGCGUAAUGAUGGCCAGGCUGUCUCCACCCGAGACUCAGUGAAAUUGAACUCGCUGUGAAGAUGCAGUGUACCCGCGGCAAGACGGAAAGACCCCGUGAACCUUUACUAUAGCUUGACACUGAACAUUGAGCCUUGAUGUGUAGGAUAGGUGGGAGGCUUUGAAGCGUGGACGCCAGUCUGCGUGGAGCCGACCUUGAAAUACCACCCUUUAAUGUUUGAUGUUCUAACGUGGACCCGUAAUCCGGGUUGCGGACAGUGUCUGGUGGGUAGUUUGACUGGGGCGGUCUCCUCCUAAAGAGUAACGGAGGAGCACGAAGGUUGGCUAAUCCUGGUCGGACAUCAGGAGGUUAGUGCAAUGGCAUAAGCCAGCUUGACUGCGAGCGUGACGGCGCGAGCAGGUGCGAAAGCAGGUCAUAGUGAUCCGGUGGUUCUGAAUGGAAGGGCCAUCGCUCAACGGAUAAAAGGUACUCCGGGGAUAACAGGCUGAUACCGCCCAAGAGUUCAUAUCGACGGCGGUGUUUGGCACCUCGAUGUCGGCUCAUCACAUCCUGGGGCUGAAGUAGGUCCCAAGGGUAUGGCUGUUCGCCAUUUAAAGUGGUACGCGAGCUGGGUUUAGAACGUCGUGAGACAGUUCGGUCCCUAUCUGCCGUGGGCGCUGGAGAACUGAGGGGGGCUGCUCCUAGUACGAGAGGACCGGAGUGGACGCAUCACUGGUGUUCGGGUUGUCAUGCCAAUGGCACUGCCCGGUAGCUAAAUGCGGAAGAGAUAAGUGCUGAAAGCAUCUAAGCACGAAACUUGCCCCGAGAUGAGUUCUCCCUGAGACUUAGAGUCUCCUGAAGGAACGUUGAAGACGACGACGUUGAUAGGCCGGGUGUGUAAGCGCAGCGAUGCGUUGAGCUAACCGGUACUAAUGAACCGUGAGGCUUAACCUUACAACGCCGAAG